rnacentral:rRNA from 1 species
AUUGAACGCUGGCGGCAAGCCUAACACAUGCAAGUCGAACGAGUGGCGGACGGGUGAGUAAUGUCUGGGAAACUGCCUGAUGGAGGGGGAUAACUACUGGAAACGGUAGCUAAUACCGCAUACCAUCGGAUGUGCCCAGAUGGGAUUAGCGAGUAGGUGGGGUAAAGGCGCACCUAGGCGACGAUCCCUAGCUGGUCUGAGAGGAUGACCAGCACCACUGGAACUGAGACACGGUCCAGACUCCUACGGUAGGCGUCAGGGGGGAAUAUUGCACAAUGGGCGCAAUCCUGAUGCAGCCAUGCCGCGUGUAUGAAGAAGGCCUUCGGGUUGUAAAGUACUUUCAGCGAGGAGGCGUUACCCGCAGAAGAAGCACCGGCUAACUCCGUGCCAGCAGCCGCGGUAAUUC